AAAGGGAGACCUAAUUCAGGUAAAAGACGAAAAAAAAGUAGUCGCUACCAAGAAUCAAUCCCAAAAGGUCGGAGCGAGGCGAAAUUGGCUUUCAAACUAGGUUCUGGGUUCAAACAAGACCUGAAUCAGGAACAAGGGCUAUUAGCUCAGGUGGUUAGAGCGCACCCCUGAUAAGGGUGAGGUCCCUGGUUCGAGUCCAGGAUGGCCCACCUGCACAGGUGGCAAAAACAAGAGAAGCGAGGAAUCAGCACCUUAUCCUACUUAUAUAGUAAGAGAGAAUGCUGGCUCUGAGUAAAGAGUCCAGAGGAACCUUGAAAACUGCAUAGAGCUAGGUGAAAAAGCCAAAAAAGAAGACCGCAAG
rnacentral:tRNA from 1 species